GCGCCUGGCGGUGUUCGGCGUGGUCUUGCGGGACCAGCGCGGGAAUAGAACGUCUUAUUUAGCGGCAGAGCCGCUAGACCAGAGUGCGUCGCGCGAUUCCUUGGCAGGCCGGCAGCACACUGGGCAUCAAUUCGAACGCACUGCAGAGAUUGCGCUGAGAGUGGGCCUUCGCCAAAUGAAGAAAGCGCUCGCGUGCCGCGAACUUACGCGCAUGCGCCAAGGCAGCAGCGGAUUUCCAGGCUGCCGCGGGCCACGUUCAAAGCGCCGAACUAUGCAGGCGCAAGUUUUCGGUGAUCCUCGCGUCGCCGGCGUGACGUAACCGACUUCGCCGGCCGCUGCCUGGCGUGCUGGAAACGCCUGACUAUAUCCGCGCCCUCAUGGUCGUCAGCCUCGUUGCUGUACCUUGCAGAGAGAGCAGAGAGCUUACAAGACUGCGAGCCUCACUCUGCUGCUGCUCUUUUUUUGCUGCUUGUGACGCGAAAGUCAGCGGACAACUGCGUUGGUCCCGACAAAUAUGGGCCUAUUGGGAAUUUCACAGACGGUGUGAAAUGGUGAGUGAAGAGCUCUGGUCCCCAUUUCCGAACCACUUUCUAAAGUUCAUUAAAAAAA